GGGAAAGGCAGCAGGGAGACAUAGGGACACAGACACUAGGGGACACUGGAAAACAUAGGGACACUGUGACACAUUGGGUCUCCUAGUGUCCCCAUGUCCCCCAGACAGUGUCCCUAGUGGCUGAGUGUCCACAUGGCUCCCAGUUUCUCCUAGUCUCCCAGUGUCCCCAUGUCUCCCAACCAGUGUCCUCAGUGUCCCCAAGUCUCCCAGUAUCUGUGUCCCUAUGUUUCCCAGUGUCCCCAAAUGUCUGUGUCCCCAUGUCUCCAAGUGUCUGUCUUCC